UAAUUUGAGAGUUUGAUCCUGGCUCAGGAUGAACGCUGGCGGCGUGCUUAACACAUGCAAGUCGAACGGAGUUAAGAGUGGAAGUUUUCGGAUGGAAACUUUUAACUUAGUGGCGGAC
rfam:Anaerocolumna xylanovorans DSM 12503 genome assembly, contig: EJ36DRAFT_scaffold00018.18